AUGCUAAUGUCGCAAGAUAUCAGAUUGGUUCCCUAAAAAAAAAAAAAAAGACUGAAUGGUCAGAAAAUUGUUUACGAAAAAAAGGUGGGUUUGUUGUUCAUGUUUAGCGGGGGGUGAAUUCGUGAUACUACUACUAGCUACUGGCCAGUGCCUAGGGUUUUUCACAUCUCUGUACUACCGAGCAAGUGCAACCCAACGUAACAAGGGCUUGGUUAUUCUCGUCUUCUCCAACCAUGAUUAUACCAGAGAAGAAUCGACGAGAAAUCUGCAAGUAUCACUUUCAAGAGGGAGUUUGUUACGCGAAGAAGGAUUUUAAUCUCCCGAAGCACCCCGAGAUUGAUGUUCCGAAUCUGCAGGUCAUCAAGCUGAUGCAGAGCUUGAAAUCUAAGGAGUAUGUGAGGGAGACAUUUGCGUGGAUGCACUAUUACUGGUACCUUACCAAUGAUGGAAUUGAGAUUUUGAGGACUUACUCAAUCUUCCGUCUGAAAUUGUGCCCGCCACUUUGAAGAAAUCCGCAAAACCCCUCGGUCGCCCUACGGGUGGUCCGCCUGGUGAUCGUCCACGGAAGUGCAAAGCUUUACUUAUAAUACUCGCUUUUCGGGUUCGCCGUGCCAAUUUUCUGUAUGAUUAAGCAUUAAUGCUUGUAAAUGAUUUUGUGUUUCUAGAGGCCCACCUCGCUUUGAAGGAGGUUCGAGGUUUGGUGAUCACGAUGGAUACCGAGCGAGGUCCUCGUGGGCCUUCGGGCGAUUUUGCUGGUGACAAAGGAGGCGCGCCUGCAGACUUCCAGCCCUCUUUUAGGGUAAAAAAUCUACUUCAUUUGUGAAUUGCCAAGAUUGCGUUGUGAAUGCACAAUUUUUUACAUCAUGUUUGGAUCAAAUCUCAUCAUGUGAAUAAAGCUGUUGACGUUGACUGGAACUAUUAUUGUUUGAGAGUCUAGACUAUCAAUAAUAGAACUAACAUUGAUGGGAUCUUUAAUCUUUCUGGUUUGCUGGCUUAGACUCCAAGACCGGAUAUUUCGAUUGCACAAAAUAUGCUCUCUGUUAAUUAAAAGCUACUAAUGUAGUUGGUAAAGAUGAACAAAUAUUAU